UACGUAGGGUGCAAGCGUUGUCCGGAAUUAUUGGGCGUAAAGAGCUCGUAGGCGGUUCGUCGCGUCGGCUGUGAAAACCUGAGGCUCAACCUCAGGCCUGCAGUCGAUACGGGCGGACUUGAGUACUGCAGGGGAGACUGGAAUUCCUGGUGUAGCGGUGGAAUGCGCAGAUAUCAGGAGGAACACCAAUAGCGAAGGCAGCUCGCUGGGACGUUACUGACACUGAGGCGCGAAAGCGUGGGGAGCGAACAGG
rnacentral:rRNA from 1 species